rnacentral:lncRNA from 1 species
GGAGCGCACAAAUUUUGUUAAAGAUAUUAUUGCUAGCAACUGGGUUGAAAAACAAGAAAUAAAAAGAAUAAUGAAAAUGUUCGACAUUGCUUCAACAACUUUACAAAAACACAUCGAAAUAGAUAAGGUAUUACAAUCCCAUUUUUUAUUAAAAUCUUCUAUAUAGCAUAGUAUGUCAUGGAAACUUCAUAUAUUUGCUUCUUAAGAUAUUUUCAUAAGCUUUGUAAGAAAAAGAUAUUUCAACAAGCGGUUCACGAGCUCUGGAAGCGAUUCAUGAGCUAUGGAAGCUAUUAGUUGUUUCUAGGAGAAUUGGACUUGUUAAAGUUGAAGUGUGCAAUGCAGUAUAGAUAAUAGAUAGAAUCCAAUUAUAUAACCGUUCCAUAAAUCUUAUUUGAUGCAUAUUACUAAACAACUAGUUUAGCCUGAAAUUCCAUGUAUUUUUAACUUUACAC